GCGACCCCAGGUCAGGCGGGACUACCCGCUGAGUUUAAGCAUAUAAAUAAGCGGAGGAGAAGAAACUUACAAGGAUUCCCCU
rnacentral:rRNA from 1 species